GGAAGUGACAUCAUUUUGGUGGGAAGCAAGAGCCCAAGCAUCAAACCAGCAGUGGUAUGAAGUGUUCUUUGUAACGCGUGGAUUUGAGGUUGUCCAUUGUGUUUUGUUUGUUUAUAUUUCCGACUUGUGACAUGUCGAAAAAAUGAAUCCCCAACUCAGAAGUGGGAAUUUCCCAGGUACACUUGAAGGCAGGUCAAAGACGUAUUUUCCAUUGGGAAACUUAUCCAAAUCAAGCUGUAAUGGACAGAUAGCUCUCGUGUUUCUGUGUGGGACUACAAGGUGUCUCCAUGGGAGGAUGAGUGUGAUAAAUAAAUGAGCAGACGAGUUGGUCUCUGACAAGUGAAGGACACGCCGUAUCGGCCACAUUUUUGAUAGUGAUCUAAUUCAACUGGCAGCCAUGGAUGUUGAUUAAAUCAGAAUGUCAGACACUUGACAAGAUGAGACAAAAACCGACGAGAAGCCUGUUGGAACAGCAGGAACAGUGCCAUGAGAACGUCACUGAAACAUGUCUGGAAAGGAAGAUGCAUAGGGAAUUGUAGCGAGGCGCUCGAUGUCGCCAUCAACCCUGUGAAACCCAGGCGUAGCCCUCUGACCGGCGUUCAGAGGCUGUGUGCGUGCUUUAGCGGAAAGUACAGUUAAGAAGUACCCCUGUAAUUACAGCGCGAACAAAGCUUUCUUUGAAAAAGGCAGCACAAAGGAGUAUCAAUGGCACAUCACUUGCAAUGCUGGGCGGGAACGCUGGAGACGGAGGCCUCAUUCAGUAGCGCUUUGAAAAGGGUGGAUGUCGGAGCAGAAUAGCUAUCACGCUCCAGUAAGGAUGUUUUGCGAUGACUUUGUCAGUGUCUCUUACACAUUAAACCCGUGUUGUCUUGUGUUCAGUGCAAAAUACCUUGUGUUUGUCAUUUUGAGAUGGCGGUUUCAUAAUUUGAUGCAAUCACGACUAGAUUUUAAUCUAGAUCUAUAAAUAGACUAGAUCUGUAAAAUUAUUUAGUAUUUUCUUUUAUUUUAUUUUA